CUGUGGCUUAGUUGGUUAAAGCGCCAGAUUAGCGAUACAGAGUCGAGGGUUCAAGUCCCUCCAG
rnacentral:tRNA from 1 species